GGCUCAGGACGAACGCGGGCGGCGUGCUUAAAACAUGCAAGUCGAACGAACACUUCGGUGUUAGUGGCAAACGGCUGAGUAACGCGUGGGUGACCUACCUGGAAGUGGGGAAUAACUGCCCGAAAGGGUGGCUAAUACCGCAUGUGAUGGCGAGACCGAUCUCGUCAUGAAAGUCUUCGGACGCUUCGAGAGGGGCCCGCGUUCGAUUAGCUAGUUGGUGGGGUAACGGCCUACCAAGGCGACGAUCGAUAGCUGGUCUAAGAGGAUGAUCAGCCAGACUGGGACUGCGACACGGCCCAGACUCCUACGGGAGGCAGCAGUUAGGAAUUUUGGGCAAUGGGCGAAAGCCUGACCCAGCAACGCCGCGUGGGUGAUGAAGGCCUUCGGGUCGUAAAGCCCUUUUUCAGGGGAAGAUGAUGACGGUACCCUGAGAAUAAGCCCCGGCUAACUACGUGCCAGCAGCCGCGGUAAUACGUAGGGGGCAAGCGUUGUCCGGAUUUAUUGGGCGUAAAGCGCGCGUAGGCGGCGCGGUAUGUCGUGCGUGAAAUCUCCCGGCUUAACUGGGAGGGGCCGUGCGAAACUGCCGGGCUUGAGGUCGGAAGGGGAAAGUGGAAUUCCGGGUGUAGUGGUGGAAUACGUAGAUAUCCGGAGGAACACCAGCGGCGAAGGCGGCUUUCUGGUCCGAUACUGACGCUGAGGUGCGAAAGCGUGGGGAGCGAUCCGGAUUAGAUACCCGGGUAGUCCACGCCGUAAACGAUGAGUACUAGGUGUCGGGGGUAUCGACCCCCUCGGUGCCGUCGCUAACGCAUUAAGUACUCCGCCUGG
rnacentral:rRNA from 1 species